rnacentral:rRNA from 1 species
UGGGGAAUAUUGGACAAUGGGCGCAAGCCUGAUCCAGCCAUGCCGCGUGAGGGAUGAAGGCCCUAGGGUUGUAAAGCGCUUUCACCGGUGAAGAUAAUGACGGUAACCGGAGAAGAAGCCCCGGCUAACUUCGUGCCAGCAGCCGCGGUAAUACGAAGGGGGCUAGCGUGGUGCGGAUUUACGGGGCGUAAAGCGCACGUAGGCGGACUUUUAAGUCAGGGGUGAAAUCCCGGGGCUCAACCCCGGAACUGCCUUUGAUACUGGAAGUCUUGAGUAUGGUAGAGGUGAGUGGAAUUCCGAGUGUAGAGGUGAAAUUCGUAGAUAUUCCGAGGAACCCCAGUGGCGAAGGCGGCUCACUGGACCAUUACUGACGCUGAGGUGCGAAAGCGUGGGGAGCAAACAGG